CCGCACCAUGGGAGUGGAUUGCACCAGAAGUGGCUGAGCUAACUCGCAAGAGAGGCAAGCCCCCAAGGUGUGGUUCAUGACUGGGGUG
rnacentral:rRNA from 1 species